rnacentral:rRNA from 1 species
UUGGGUGCCGCAUAACCCCGGGAAACUGGGGAUAAUUCCGGAUAACGCACAUAUGCUGGAAUGCUUUAUGCGUAAAAUGGAUUCGUCUGCCCAAGGAUGGGUCUGCGGCCUAUCAGGUAGUAGUGGGUGUAAUGUACCUACUAGCCAACAACGGGUACGGGUUGUGAGAGCAAGAGCCCGGAGAUGGAUUCUGAGACAUGAAUCCAGGCCCUACGGGGCGCAGCAGGCGCGAAAACUUUACAAUGCGGGAAACCGUGAUAAGGGGACACCGAGUGCCAGCAUCAUAUGCUGGCUGUCCAGGUGUGUAAAAUACACCUGUUAGCAAGGGCCGGGCAAGACCGGUGCCAGCCGCCGCGGUAACACCGGCGGCCCGAGUGGUGAUCGUGAUUAUUGGGUCUAAAGGGUCCGUAGCCGGUUUGGUCAGUCCUCCGGGAAAUCUGAUAGCUCAACUAUUAGGCUUUCGGGGGAUACUGCCAGGCUUGGAACCGGGAGAGGUAAGAGGUACUACAGGGGUAGGAGUGAAAUCUUGUAAUCCCUGUGGGACCACCUGUGGCGAAGGCGUCUUACCAGAACGGGUUCGACGGUGAGGGACGAAAGCUGGGGGCACGAACCGGAUUAGAUACCCGGGUAGUCCCAGCCGUAAACGAUGCUCGCUAGGUGUCAGGCAUGGCGCGACCGUGUCUGGUGCCGCAGGGAAGCCGUGAAGCGAGCCACCUGGGACGUCCGC